rnacentral:tRNA from 1 species
ACCGGAGUAGCUCAGUCGGUAGAGCGCAAGACUUUUAAUCUUGUGGUCGAGGGUUCGAGCCCCUCCUUCGGUG